UUAAAAACUUAGUGUUAUAGCAUGUUUUGUUUUGGUCAAAGAGGUGGUUUAGUUAAUGCCAGUUUUUA
rnacentral:tRNA from 1 species